CAAGUCGAGGGUUCCCCCAAGGGAUAGCGGCAAAAGGGGGAGUAACACGUAAGUAAUUUUCUUUAAAGUCGGGGAUAGCACUGUGAAAACGGUGGUAAUACCCGAUGUUAUGGUUUUCUCGCAUGAGAAGACCAUCAAAGACGGGGACCGAAAGGCCUGUCGCUUUUUGAUGAGCUUGCGCACCAUCAGCUAGUUGGUAGGGUAAUGGCCUACCAAGGCUACGACGGUUAGCUGGUCUGAGAGGACGACCAGCCACAUUGGGACUGAGACACUGCCCAGACUCCUACGGGAGGCUGCAGUCGAGAAUAUUUAGCAAUGGGCGAAAGCCUGACUAUGCGACGCCGCGUGCAGGAUGAAGGUCUUCGGAUUNUAAACUGCUUUUGUUAGGGGGGAAACCUGAAACGUUAAUAGCGUUUCAGCUGACAGUACCUAGCGAAUAAGCCACGGCAAACCCUGUGCCAGCAGCCGCGGUAAUACAGGGGUGGCAAGCGUUACUCGGAAUUAUUGGGUGUAAAGGGCAGGUAGGUGGCCCGGUUAGUGAGAGGUGAAAUCCCACGGUUCAAUCGUGGAACUGCCUUUCAAACUGCCGAGCUUGAGAGAGAUAGAGGAAGAUGGAAUUCUCGGUGUAAGGGUGAAAUCUGUAGAUAUCGGGAAGAACACCAACGGCGAAGGCAAUCUUCUGGGUCUUUUCUGACACUGAACUGCGAAAGCUAGGGGAGCAAACAGAAUUAGAUACUCUGGUAGUCCUAGCCGUAAACGAUGAAUACUAGGUGUCGGCCCCUUCGGGGGUCGGUGCCGAAGCUAACGCAUUAAGUAUUCCACCUGGGGACUACGGUCGCAAGGCUAGAACUCAAAGGAAUUGACGGGGGCUCACACAAGCGGUGG
rnacentral:rRNA from 1 species